GAGAGUCCUUCACACUGAGCUGCUUAGGAAGGGAUAGUCUGUAUUUCAGAUGUCUUCCUAAUCAAGGUGUGUGCAGCGUCAGUGAUGAGACACUGGGCAUCUCUGUGCAUGAAGCCCUGCUUUGGCUGGCUAAACUCUUUGAUGUCCUGAUUUGUAUGUCUCCCUCGUGCUUCAGGAAAACCACCAGUUCAGGCACGUCAUCUAGCACAUGGCUGUCAGAGAGAACUUCCAUACAAGACUCCUUUGCUCUUCCCUUAUCGAUUACCCACCUGAGCUGGAAGGAGAGGGUUUCCACUCAUGAUGCUGUAAGAUCAAUCUUCUAAAGACUCAAGAACAAUAACCAGUUGCUGGAAGGAAGAGUGUUCCGGCCUGCUACACAGACAUAUUGACACAUAUGCGAGGAGACUGGAGCCCAAAGGAAAGUGAGAGCAAAAUCUGGCAAGAUUUGAGAGAAGAGGAAGACUAAAUUGCAGGAAAGGGGAAAGCUUUGUAUUUUCCUUAAAAGAUAGUAAAAUUGCCCAGCAGUGGUGGCAAAUAUCAUCAAUCCCAGCACUCAGGAGGCAGAGACAGGUAGAUCUCUGAGUUCAAAUCCAGCCUGGUCUACAGAGCUAGUUCCAGGACAGCUAAGGCUACACAGAAAAACCCUGCCUGGAAAAUAAAAACAAAUGAACAAAAAGUAAUAAAAUUAGGGCACACAGAAAUAUAGGGAAGGAAAAAUAUUACUGUCAGGUAGAAAGUAUAUUUGGCUUGCAAUUAACUGAAUUUUGGUUCAAUUUUCUCUAAUUCCUAGUUUCAUCUGUAAAAUGUAGGAUACUAAUAGCAAAACUUUGCUUCAGGAUUUUUUACGGUUAAAAAGGAUUAGUUACAUGCAAAUUCUCUGGCCAGCCCCUGGGUUGCCAAGCCUGUGUAGAAGACAUUGGAGACAACACCAAGCUGUGUGCUGAAGACUUGUCCUGCUCCUAUUAUUUGUUAAUUGUCUGGGAAAGUCUUAAAAAAUUGCUCAACCUUAGUUACUUCUUCUGUAAAAUAGGGACAAUUAUCACAGCAAUUUUAUAGGAACCAUUUAAAGAAGAAACAAGCUAGUUCAUAUAGAGUAAAAUAUUUGGUGCCGAAGUUCCUGCUGUUGAAUGACCACUGCAGAUGGCCAAGGAUUGACAGAGCUGCUGCUCUUGCAGGGACCCAGGAUUUGGUUCCUAAUAUCCAUAACAGCAAGUGUUCACAAUUGCCUGUAACUCUACUUCCAGGGGACACUGAGCUGUCUUCUGCCUCUGAGAACACUUGCACAAUACACUGGAAAUAAAAUGGAAAUAAUUAAAAAUAGUAUUUUUUUGUAUCUCUGUGAGUUUGUGGCCAACCUGGUCUAUUGAUCGAGUACCAGGACUGACAAGACUAUACAGAGAAACUGUCUUGAAAAAAAUAAAACAAGCUAGCCAAACAAGCAAACAAAAAGCCAAAAAGAAAAAGAAAAGGAACAAUUCCUUAAAAUUAAAAAAAAAGAUGUUUUGGUAUGUGCCUGUGUGUGUACAUCUGUGUGUCUGUGUGCACAGGUUCAUGUGCACAUGUUUGCAGAGGCCAGAGGUCAAUGUCUGCUGUCUUUCUCAAUUGCUCUCCACCUUAUUUUUAAGACAGGGUCUCUCACUGAACCUGGAACUAGCUGAUUUGCUAGACUGUCCACCCAACAAGUCCCUGAGACCAUCUUGUCUCAGUAUCCCCAGAGCUGGGGGACUGAUUAUAAGCAUGCCCCUGGCUUUUUCAGGUGAAUGUUGGGGAUCCAACUCAAUUUCUUUACCAACUGAGCUAUCUCUCCAACCCCUACUGCUAUCUUCUUUUUUAGAAGGUACAGAGGAUCCAGUGGUAAUUUUGAGCGGAGGGUAAUGGGUUGGCUGAAAGAUGGGAUGAGGAACGAGUGUGGUAAAGAGGGGCUAUAAUCUGUUGGUGGUUUCUAAAUGGAACUGAGUGGUGAAGGGCUGAGGAGAGACCAAAAAGAGAGUAAGACUAAUCAAAAUAUCAGUAACUGCUGGUUAGAGACUCGAGAACUCGAUGAGCAACCAUCAUAGGAGGGGUGGAGAAAAGCUACUCAUAUACACUCAUAUACUGGAGAUGCAGUUUUCAAACCCCAGUGUGUGUGACUCACCUGGGGAACCAGAAUGUGGAUUCUCCUCUAGUUGGUCUGGAUGGACCCAGAGAUGCUGCCAUUAUUAACCAAAUCUCAAGAAGUGCAGAGGAUGCAUAAGUCACACCAGCAAGGAUGCUAAGGGUCAUGAGGAGAAAAAAAAAGAGUUUUGCUUGUUUGUUUGGUUGUCUUUUUUUUUUUUUAAGGAACUAAAUCAAGACAAAAAAAAAAACAAAAACUUACCAUACUAAGUUUGGUUUCCUGAAUUUGGCAUUAUGGGAUGUAGAAUAGUGUGAUGAUGAAAGGUUAGAUUAAUUUUCAGAUCAGGAUUAACCCUUUCUCCACAAUUAUUAGAAAGAUGAUUCUGGGUUUUUUGACCUUUGCUCUCUGGUUUCUAACUGAGAGGUUGCAGAGACUAGAUCACAAGACUGCUGCAUUGAUUAAUGGAGACACUCUGUUGUAAAAACAGGGGUGAUACUUACUGAAGGAAUAAAAAUCCUCUCUGUAGAUUUCACACAAUGUAAAGAGUAACUCAGCUCCUGGAGAGGCCCGUCUGGGCCUUUUCACAUUCAACUUUUCUGUUAG
rnacentral:lncRNA from 1 species